rnacentral:lncRNA from 1 species
ACUCCCAAAACCUGGUAGAAAUAAGUCACAAGCCUCUAAGAAUUUAUCCUCAAUGUAUCUAUAUAUAUCAGGAUCUAAGAAAAAUAAGGAAGCAACAUAAUAAUGAUAGAAGGGGACUCUAGAGUCUGCGGACGCUGGCAGAUAUACCUCGAAAUCUCCGUACACAGGUAGCUUACUGAUGUUUGGACUGGCAGGAUGUACCUGGAUCUGCACAAAAAGAUGUACAGAAGCGUAGUAUAAGUACACCACAGCGGUACCCAAUAAGUUUCAAGCCUAACCUUGGUAGAGUAGUGACGAGGUCAGGUCAGGCCCUACUGGAUUAAUAAAAGACAAGGUAAAAUGUUUAACAAUAUAAUAAAAUGAAAUGAGAAUGGAAAUGAAUCAAGUAAGUAGUAUGUCACCAAUUAACUAUGCAAAAUAACGGCAAAUAAUACCUCAAGGAAACAAAACAGAAUUCUUUUCAACUUUAAGAAAAUCACAACAAUAAUCAAAGGCAAUUGCGGCCAUAAAUCAAUAUCAAUAACGGCACUCCCGAGGUACCGCCUCGUAGUCCUAAAUCAUAAAUAAAAUUUAUAAUAUCUCAUUUUCUUAUAUCACCGCGGGAGCCUUCACAUUUAAUUUUAAAGAAAAUAUUUUUUGAUACGUUGCCUCAGUUCCAAAUUUAAAAUAUCAAAUACUUCAUAUUAAUAAUAUUUAAAUUAAAGAAAUUCCACCUUCAAAUAAUGCACAGAAUAAAAGAAACUAAGUUUCAGCUAAAUAGGUAAAAACAAUUAGCAAGAGAAAGUCAAGCAAAUUUAAAGUAUAUAAAUCAGAUCAAUGAUGGAGAAUAUAACAAAAUAAAAUAAUUUAAUUAAUAUACAACAGUAAUCUACACAAUUUAAAAAUAUAAUCUUCCACAUUUAGCCCGUGUAUACACUCGUCACCUCGUGUACACGACUUGCAACACAUUACAAUUAUUACAUCAAUACCAAUCCUAGGGGAAUUUCCCCCACACAAGGUUAGACAAGUCACCUACCUCGACUUGCUCCAAUUUAAUCAAGUAGUAUGCAUUUUCCUCGAUUUUCUAACUCCGAUCGACUCGAAUCUAGUCAUAAUUAAUUCGAUACAGUCAACAAAAAUUAUAGAAUCAAUUCCAUAAGAAAAUACUAUAUUUUCAAUAAAAAUCCGAAAUUAACUAAAAAAAUCGCUCGUGGGGCCCACGUCUUGAAAUCCGGCGAAAGUUACGAAAUAUGAAUGUGCAUUCAACCACGAGUCUAGCCAUACCAAAAUGACUAAAUUUCGAUGACAAUUCGACCCUCAAAUCCUCAAAUUUAUCCAAGAGGGUUUUCGUGAUCGCGAAAAAGGUUUGAAACACCAAAAAACAGCAGCUACCAGCAGUGCCAAAAUGAAGGGAAAUAAUCCGAAUACCAUCUGAAACACGUUCGAGCCCCUCGGGACCUCAACCAAAUAUACCAACAAGCCCUAAUACAUCAUACGAACUUAAUCGAGUCUUCAAAUCACAUCCAACAACACUAAAAUGAUGAAAUUCACAAAAGUCAAACUUGGUCAACUCUUCCAACUUAAAGCUUAAAUGAUGAAAUUCAUUCUUUCAAAUCGAUUUCGAAUAACCUGAAAACCAAAACCGACGAUUCACAUAAGUCAUAAUACAUCAUACGGAGCUACUCAUGCCCUCAAACUAUUGAGCGAAGUACAAGUGCUCGAAACGACCGGUCGGGUCUUACAUCAAGCCAGCAACCCCUUCUAUAAAUUUAUCCCGCAAGCCCGUACAAUUCAGAUGAUUCCUAUUAUACAUCUAUCUACGAUGCCCAAAUUCCAUCUACACAAAAAUAUUAAAUAUUAUUUCAUUUAAAGGUUCUUAUUUUGAAAGGUUAAAUAGCAUUACACAAUAAGCUAAUUUUUAAGAAUCCAAUUUUAAAUAAUUUAAUUUCUAAGGCUUCUAUUUGUAUAGGUAUAAAAGUAGAAAUAUUAGCUUAGUGUUACUUAUCCUCUUGUCAUAUUCUCGGAAAUCUUUUUUACUAAAGUGAUUGUGAUUCAUUAGAUCGUGCUUCGUCAAAUUGCACCAACUAUUUUUUUUUUAUUACUAUCAUUUAUGAAUAUUUUUACUAAGAGGAAGAGAGGUAAAAGGAAAACUUAAAGUCUAUAAGGUUGCUCCCAAUCUUGAUUCCAACUACAAUCGACGAGUUUUAAAUUUUUAACCCAACUAAGCAACUUUUAGGUGUGCUAUUAGAACUACAAAAUAUUUAUGAGAAAUACAAAAUUUAAAUGUGCUAUGAAAAAUACAUAAUUUUUAACCCAACUAAUCAAUUUUAUGAUUUCAAAACAAAUAAAUCAUUAAAUAUACUACGAGAAAUAUAAAAUUGAAAAUCAAUCUAUUUUCUAUCAUAAAUUUCUAAAUACUUGAAUAAAUUUAAUAAAUUUAAUAAAUUUUUUACUAACCUUGCAAUCGGACCACUACAAUACCGCCACUGAAUGUAGAGGAAGACAAUGUCGCCGGAGUCCACCGCCGCCGUUGCUGCUACACACCACUGUUGCCCGCUACUAAAAAAAUUGAAAUAGGAAAAUGAGAAGAAGAGGAGAGGACGAGGGAUAAAGAGAAGGAGAGCAAGAAUUGCAUUACCUUUAUCUGCAAUGGCACCUGCCGUGGAGGGUUCCACCGUGGGGUGGGAUGGGGGAGGAGUUGGGAGGAAAGGAAAAAACAAAUAGUGAAAGAGGCCAAAUAAAAUAUUUUCGGGGGAAAGCAAUCGCACAAGCGGGUCAACGAAGUCAAACGUGUCAGGCGG